CCACAGGAUAGUGCAGUGGCUGUGGGAAUGAUGAGAUUUGCCAAGCACUGUUCCAAAUGCCUUGCUGAAGGCUGGAUGCUCUGGCAUAAGCAUGGCACUUUACCCUUUCCCUUAAGGGGUAAACAGAUCCCACCUUCAACAACCCAUUUGUAUCAUCCAGAAAACUGCUGAUCAUCAGGUUUCAGCCCAAGUGUGACCCAAGUCAGAGACUCACGUAAAUAUCUGUAUCUCAUCAUCUCACUCCAGUGAACACCCAAGUGUCUGAAGCCAGACAAAGCAAGGCUUUGAGUAGAAAUGUGCACCUCUUAGUUUCCUCAUGUUGGCAUUCGUAUACUUCCUCACACACGCUUUCACCAUUCAGUAAUAUCUGUCUUUCAUCAAACAGCAUAUUUUCUUGCUCUAUUACUGCUAAAAACCUAUUUCUUCUGCCAGAAAUGCUCUAAAGCCUCUGCAGUGUUGAGAGCUGGUGCUGUAACAUAGCUUAGGGACCCAAGUUUCUGUUGUAAUUACAUCUUUGUAUCAAGUGCAGCUCCUGUGUCUGUAGCCUUACGUCAGAACAAUGGGCUGCUGCCAGUAAAGUCAAUAUAAUCUGGGAUUCUAGUGUAAGGCUUCAGAUUGGGUCCCACCCCUAUCCAAACAGUUCACCAGAGGAACUGCCUGCUGUUCCCUUGUAUGAUUAACAGUCACAUACAAGGGUUGAUGAGAAAGCAUGAGGGAUUUCUAAAUUAGUCAGAUGUUAACUGGGAGGGUCAGAAUUAAGUCACAAUUUACACACACAUUUUGCAAUUAGUGUUGAUGGGAAAGGAAGUGAAAAAAAUAGGGCUUAAUUAAAUGUGGCUUUGUUAGAUCCUUCUGUUACAUGUACCCAGAUGUUGUGGGGGCUUCAGCUGAUGUUCAGUAUUUAAACUGCAAAAAAACACCCAGGAAGACUGAGGUUGUGUUCUAAAAUAUGUCACUCUUCAUGAGCUAUUUGGACACAAAUGGAAAAAGGUCCUAAGGCUCAGUGACACCUGAGCUGUUUGAUAUAAAGGUGGGAGGAUAUAGCAGCAAAUUGUCUUAGAUGUCUCUGUUUCUAUCUCCAUAUUUCUAAGGAAAAAUUAAGGCAUCUCUUCAUUUCAGGUUACAAAAUAACCCUUCCAUUUUCUGGGAAAGGUUCUGUAAUAAUCACCAGGAAGUCUGGCUUCAAGGUAGGGCCUGUUAAGUAGAAAAUUGAGAUUAUAUUAUAUGAAUAAGCAGGAAAUCACAGGCAGUCGAGGCCCUAUAAAGAGAAAAGUUUUGAGUAACUGAAAAAACCCUCAACCCACAAUGGCAGUCUGUUCUCCCACCUGCUGCUCUGGUUAUGUUCUGCUCUGGCAGAUGCUAUCAAUAGGUUUGUCAUUUGCUGAUGGAUCCGGCCUCUGCUGAAACUUCUCUGUUGCCAGAAAUGAGUGUGCCCCUUCUUUCAGCCCAGUUGUGACAGUGGAUGAGGAAAGCCCAAGGUGCUGAGCCUGAAUGUUAAGGAAGGUCUAUUUUUUACUGCUUAGUUCUGUUGUUCUGCAGUUGGCUUGUGUUAAAGCUGCUUGUGUUAGAGCAGAGAUAGUCAGCAAAGAUCUGCUGACUAUCAUCACAUGUCUGCCAAGGCUUUUAAUCAAGACUCAGGGCAACAGAUGGUAUACCCAGAAACUACAGAAUUAUUGUGAAAAUGAAAGGAAGAAAGAAAUUUCAGAGGAACUGUGUUCCUUUCUAAAGGAUGCCAAGUCCUAACAUUGUAGGGCAGCAUGAGGUGCUUAGGAAGGAAAAGUUGUCUCCUUAUUAAUUAGCUCUGCCUGUGUCCAAUUAACUUAAAACCAGGUGAGGAGUGAGAGCUUAAGACUUGCAGUUACAAGCAAUCAUGUAAUAGACCAUUUAUCAAGAAGACAUAAAAGCAGUCCAUCACUCUGCUAAUCCUGGCACUAUGUGUGUGAAAGCUCAAAUUCCACAGCACUGGAAUGUGCCCCAGGAAAGGACAAGCUACUUGCUUCAAGCCUCUUCUCUCAGCUGGGGACAGAUCCACUCUUCCUGCUUAUGCCACUGGUCAAGGCAGAAUAGGGGAAGACAAACAUGAGGAGAAAAAAAAAACAACAGGCAGACUGUCAUCCCAUAAAAUAAAAAGCCUCAAUAUUUACAGUGGGAUGGGAGAUGUCACCAAGCAGAGGAAAGAGGGAAUAAUAUUGGCAAGGCAGUCAAGCACGUGAUACUUUCCGAUUUCUGCACCACAAGAUGAGGAGGACUCAAUGGCAUUUGUAGCAAAUCUGACCUAUUUGUCAUCUGUGUAGAAAGAGUUUGCGUCAGCCGACAUGAACAAAUAUCUCAGGGGUGACACAGGGGCUCAUCUACACACACAGGUGCCAGUUAGCAGCAGCUGCAGCUGGGCUUGCAUUAUAACAUGUGGAAACCUCUUCACAACUGCUAAUGCUCCUGCCAUGGCUAGGUAGGGCUGAAUACACCUGCAGAGAGUUACACAAAUGAGGAACUGUAGAACCUGGGCUAGUGAUCUUCAGAGCUAGCAGAUGUUCCCAAAGUCACCCUGCUUAUAUGCUCAGAAACAGAUUUAAAUCCAUUUCAUUCACAUUGACAAUUCAAAAUUAUGUUCCCCUCCUCCUCAAAAAAAUCAAAUUGUAGCAGCAGGCUGCAGCCUCUGCUGUCCCCUGCCCUCCAACCUGGCUUUUCACACCCAUAUCAGCUUCCAGCACCAGUGUCAUGACCUGGAUUCAAAGAUGCUUUUUAAACUCCUGAUUACAUGGCCUACUUCCUGGCUAUGGAAAUGAGGCCAGGUGGAUUCUAUUUUAAAAGCCUGCUAAAGACCAUGGCUAAAAUAGCUGACAACAUUACCAGACCACUGGGGCUUAAAAGGUUUUACAGUGCCGCUGUGUCUGAGAGAUGUGCUGGCUUUAUCUCUGUGUUUUAUGUCUCAUUUUCUAAUAGGAUUUUAGGAAUCUUACUGGUGUUGUGCCUCUCCCCUUCUCGUUCUCAGGCAGCUCCUCCCUCGAUGUUUGUGGGGAAUCUCUAGCCUUUUUACAGACCAGAUUGCCACUAACACAGCACUCUGGCUCUUCUCCACUACUCUACUCCAAAGAAGCUACAAACAAUUUCCAAGUACCCCUAAAAUCACAGCAAACUGAGGAGAGAUGCUCAAUGAGAACAAGGUCAGCAGGACUCUCAUUAAACUCUUCCCCACAGCAGCUGCAUUUGAAGCACAAGGUCUCAGUUUAUUUAGUAGCAGUAGAGCUCCUUUCCUUUUCUGCUUUCCUAAAUUGUUUCUCAACCCUGAUGUUCUCUCUUUCAGGACAUAUUCCUGCUUCCAAGCAACUGCCCACACCAGAGCUGAAGUAUUAGCUGGGUUUUACCUCCUAAACACAAAUAAUGCUUCCUAUGAAAGGAUUUGCUGGACUAGACUAUGAGAUUGACACAUAGCAUUUGAUCCACUGCAGAGCUAACUGUGCCAGCAGCCUCUGAAGUUGGUGAAGAAGUAAAGGUGGUAAGUACGAGAGUUCAAGUCCUAAAAGACAGCCAGCCUGCCCAUGCCCCAAAGUCAAGGACAUGACAGGACAUGACUUGUAGGCUCAGCCUGAGACUCACUGUCUUCAGCAAAGCAAGGACCUUCAGUUUGGAGACAGAAGCGCGCUUCAGCAGAGGAAACUGCACCCUUUUCACACCUGAAGUUUGAAAUGUGUCUGGGGGCAUGAACACCUGUGGGAGUAGUGGUUUUCCAGAUCUGUCUCCUAGCAAGGAAUUUGGAAUCACUGAGUUGAGGCUGUGCUCUCCCUAUAGGCCCCAAAAUGGGCAGCACUGGCAGCAUGGGAGACUUCUCUGCAUCAAGAGGGGACAUCAGCUGUUUGUCACUUUCUUACUCUUUCUUGCUCUUCCCUGCUCAUGCAAAUGAGCAAUGACUACUGGAAAUGAUGGUGACUGCUGGAAGACAGCCUUCUGCCUCUUCAGUGACAUUUUCUUUUAGAAAAGAAUUAUAUUAAAUGAAAUUCAAAACAGAUCAUGCUAAAAUGUGGUAGACAACUUGCUAAAUCUUCAUUCAAGCAAUUCCUGUGAGCUUUUCUGUCAUUUGUUCUGUCAUUUCUUCUGUUAGAGAAAAGUCUUUUAUGUUCUGUAAAGGUUUUCAGUGCCCGUGGCAUUUCAGAGGGGAUAUUUGUGCACCUGCUACUUGCUUCCCCUUCUGGGAGAUGAACGUCACAGCCUGCCCACAUUCCCCAAGAGGCUUCACUUACUGAUGAGUGCUGUUACUGUAACAGCUGAAGUCAGCACAAUUCUGAAGUAAUGUCAUGAAUCAUAAAAUAAGCCCCUCCUCUUUUUGCCAAUGCAA